GACGAACGCUGGCGGCGUGCUUAACACAUGCAAGUCGAACGGAAAGGCCCUGCUUUUGUGGGGUGCUCGAGUGGCGAACGGGUGAGUAACACGUGAGUAACCUGCCCUUGACUUUGGGAUAACUUCAGGAAACUGGGGCUAAUACCGGAUAGGAGCUCCUGCUGCAUGGUGGGGGUUGGAAAGUUUCGGCGGUUGGGGAUGGACUCGCGGCUUAUCAGCUUGUUGGUGGGGUAGUGGCUUACCAAGGCUUUGACGGGUAGCCGGCCUGAGAGGGUGACCGGCCACAUUGGGACUGAGAUACGGCCCAGACUCCUACGGGAGGCAGCAGUGGGGAAUAUUGCACAAUGGGCGGAAGCCUGAUGCAGCAAAGCCGGGUGCGGGAUGACGGCCUUCGGGUUGUAAACCGCUUUCGCUCAUGACGAAGCUUUGUGUGACGGUAGUGGGUAAAGAAGCACCGGCUAACUACGUG
rnacentral:rRNA from 1 species